AGAUUGAACGCUGGCGGCAUGCUUUACACAUGCAAGUCGAACGGUAACAGGCCGCAAGGUGCUGACGAGUGGCGAACGGGUGAGUAAUGCAUCGGAACGUGCCCAGUCGUGGGGGAUAACGCAGCGAAAGCUGUGCUAAUACCGCAUACGAUCUAUGGAUGAAAGGCGGGGGACCGAAAGGCCUCGCGCGAAUUGGAGCGGCCGAUGUCAGAUUAGCUAGUUGGUGGGGUAAAGGCCCACAAGGCGACGAUCUGUAGCUGGUCUGAGGAGGACGACCAGCCACACUGGAACUGAGCACGGUCCAGACUCCGUACGGGAGGCAGCUAGGUGGGGUAAUUUUGGACUAAGUGGGCGACAAGCCUGGAAUCCCAGCAAGUGCCGUCGUGCCAAGGAAGAAGGUCCGUUGGUUAGUAACGUGUA
rnacentral:rRNA from 1 species